GACGAACGCUGGCGGCGUGCUUAACACAUGCAAGUCGAACGGAAAGGCCCUGCUUUUGUGGGGUGCUCGAGUGGCGAACGGGUGAGUAACACGUGAGUAACCUGCCCUUGACUUUGGGAUAACUUCAGGAAACUGGGGCUAAUACCGGAUAGGAGCUCCUGCUGCAUGGUGGGGGUUGGAAAGUUUCGGCGGUUGGGGAUGGACUCGCGGCUUAUCAGCUUGUUGGUGGGGUAGUGGCUUACCAAGGCUUUGACGGGUAGCCGGCCUGAGAGGGUGACCGGCCACAUUGGGACUGGGAUGAGGCCCAGACCCCUCCGGGAGGCAGCAGGGGGGAAUAUUGCACAAUGGGCGGAAGGCUGAUGGAGCAACGCCGCGUGCGGGAUGACGGCCUUCGGGUUGUAAACCGCUUUCGCCUGGGGCGAAGCGUGAGUGACGGUAAUGGGUAAAGAAGCAACGGCUAACUACGUG
rnacentral:rRNA from 1 species